GACGAACGCUGGCGGCGUGCUUAACACAUGCAAGUCGAACGAUGAAGCUGGAGCUUGCUCUGGUGGAUUAGUGGCGAACGGGUGAGUAACACGUGAGUAACCUGCCCUGGACUCUGGGAUAACCCCGAGAAAUCGGAGCUAAUACCGGAUAGGACCUUGCACCGCAUGGUGUGGGGUGGAAAGUUUUUCGGUCUGGGAUGGACUCGCGGCCUAUCAGCUUGUUGGUGAGGUAAUGGCUCACCAAGGCGUCGACGGGUAGCCGGCCUGAGAGGGUGACCGGCCACACUGGGACUGAGAAACGGCCCAGACUCCUACGGGAGGCAGCAGUGGGGAAUAUUGCACAAUGGGCGCAAGCCUGAUGCAGCAACGCCGCGUGCGGGAUGACGGCCUUCGGGUUGUAAACCGCUUUUAGUAAGGAAGAAGGGGCUUCGGCCUUGACGGUACUUGCAGAAAAAGGACCGGCUAACUACGUGCCAGCCGCCGCGGUAAGAC
rnacentral:rRNA from 1 species